UACCUGAUAGUAUGGUGAGAUUGCAUGAUAACACCAUUAAAGAUUUAUUGGUAAACGAUGGGGAUGCGUUCCAUUAGGUAGUAGGCGGGGUAACGGCCCACCUAGCCUGCGAUGGAUAGGGGUUCUGAGAGGAAGGUCCCCCACAUUGGAACUGAGACACGGUCCAAACUCCUACGGGAGGCAGCAGUGAGGAAUAUUGGUCAAUGGGCGAGAGCCUGAACCAGCCAAGUAGCGUGAAGGAUGAAGGUCCUACGGAUUGUAAACUUCUUUUAUACGGGAAUAAAGUUUCCUACGUGUAGGAUUUUGUAUGUACCGUAUGAAUAAGCAUCGGCUAACUCCGUGCCAGUAGCCGCGGUAAUACGGAGGAUGCGAGCGUUAUCCGGAUUUAUUGGGUUUAAAGGGAGCGCAGACGGGAGAUUAAGUCAGUUGUGAAAGUUUGCGGCUCAACCGUAAAAUUGCAGUUGAUACUGGUUUCCUUGAGUGCAGUUGAGGCAGGCGGAAUUCGUGG
rnacentral:rRNA from 1 species